ACCCCUAACACACAACAAGGGGAAAAGCA
rnacentral:tRNA from 1 species